GACGAACGCUGGCGGCGUGCCUAAUACAUGCAAGUCGAGCGAAGUUUUUCUGGUGCUUGCACUAGAAACACUUAGCGGCGAACGGGUGAGUAACACGUAAAGAACCUGCCUCAUAGACUGGGACAACUAUUGGAAACGAUAGCUAAUACCGGAUAACAGUAUUUCUCGCAUGAGAGAUAUUUAAAAGUUGGUUAUGCUAACACUAUGAGAUGGCUUUGCGGUGCAUUAGCUGGUUGGUGGGGUAAAGGCCCACCAAGGCGACGAUGCAUAGCCGACCUGAGAGGGUGAUCGGCCACACUGGGACUGAGACACGGCCCAGACUCCUACGGGAGGCAGCAGUAGGGAAUCUUCCGCAAAGGGCGAAAGCCUGACGGAGCAACGCCGCGUGAGUGAAGAAGGAUUUCGGUUCGUAAAGCUCUGUUGUUAGGGAAGAAUGGAUAUGUAGUAACUAUACAUGUAAGAGACGGUACCUAACCAGAAAGCCACGGCUAACUACGUG
rnacentral:rRNA from 1 species